rnacentral:rRNA from 1 species
CCUACGGGAGGCAGCAGUGAGGAAUAUUGGUCAAUGGACGGGAGUCUGAACCAGCCAAGUAGCGUGAAGGAAUACUGCCCUAUGGGUUGUAAACUUCUUUUAUCAAGGAAUAAAACGAGGCACGUGUGCCUUUUUGCAUGUUAUUUGUGAAUAAGGAUUGGCUAACGCCGUUCCAGCAGCCGCCGGAAUACGGAGGGACCGGGCGUUUUACGGAUUUAUUGGGUUUAAAGGGAGCGUAGAUGGGUUGUUAAGUCAGUCGUGAAAGUUUGCGGCUCAACCGUAAAAUUGCAAUUGAUACUGGCAGUCUUGAGUACAGUUGAGGUAGGCGGAAUUCGUGGUGUAGCGGUGAAAUGCUUAGAUAUCACGAAGAACCCCGAUUGCGAAGGCAGCUUACUAAACUGUGACUGACAUUGAUGCUCGAAAGUGUGGGUAUCAAACAGGAUUAGAUACCCCAGUAGUC